rnacentral:rRNA from 1 species
AGUGAACGCUGGCGGUAGGCCUAACACAUGCAAGCCGAACGGCAGCACAGUAAGAGCUUGCUCUUACGGGUGGCGAGUGGCGGACGGGUGAGGAAUACAUCGGAAUCUACUUUUUCGUGGGGGGUAACGUAGGGAAACUUACGCUAAUACCGCAUACGACCUACGGGUGAAAGCAGGGGAUCUUCGGACCUUGCGCGAUUGAAUGAGCCGAUGUCGGAUUAGCUAGUUGGCGGGGUAAAGGCCCACCAAGGCGACGAUCCGUAGCUGGUCUGAGAGGAUGAUCAGCCACACUGGAACUGAGACACGGUCCAGACUCCUACGGGAGGCAGCAGUGGGGAAUAUUGGACAAUGGGCGCAAGCCUGAUCCAGCCAUACCGCGUGGGUGAAGAAGGCCUUCGGGUUGUAAAGCCCUUUUGUUGGGAAAGAAAAGCAGCAGGUUAAUACCCCGCUGUUCUGACGGUACCCAAAGAAUAAGCACCGGCUAACUUCGUG